GUUAUAUUUUCGGUGUUUAUAGAUAACCGAAGUUAAAAGUAUUUAAUUUUUUAUUUAAUGCUUGCUCUUUUGUUUAAGAAAAGCUUUGUCUUCGGUAAUUAGAAAUGACCGAAAUCAAAGGCUUCCACGCGGAGAACUUUGUUUUUUGUUAUUAGAUAAUAACCGAAGACUAAAGUCUUCUUAUUCCCACAAAUAAAGCAAAGGGACCGACCUUUCAAUUUACCCCCAAAUUGUCGAAACCCUUAACCCCACGAUCCUCAAACCCUCAACUUCUCAAACUCUUCGCUUACAGCUACCCCGACGACAAGGACGAGGACGAGGACGGCGGUGGACUGACUGAAGCUCUCUGCUCCGACUAACCUCCUCAAUGGAUUUUCUUCUGGUAUUGACUUGUUUUCGUUUAAAGAUCUUCUUCCAUUAGUCUCUUCUUCACAUCACCUACAAAUAAUGUUAAAAAAUUGUCAUUGGUUCAUUGGGUGCAUUUGUACAGUUUGGUGGGUUUUGUGGUUCCUGUACAAUGCUAUGCCAGCUUCAUUUCCCCAGUACAUGACAGAGGCCAUAACCGGUCCUUUGCCGGACCUGCCUGGUAUUAAAUUGAAGAAGGAAGGAGUCCCUGUGGUGUUUGUGCCGGGGAUUCUGACUGGUGGGCUUGAAUUGUGGGAGGGUCAUCAUUGUGCAGAUGGGCUUUUUCAGAAAUGUCUUUGGGUGGAACUUUUGGAGAAGUCUAUAAGAGCUUUAGUGUCACUAAUAGGAUGAAACAACGUUAUUCUGGUUUUCUCAUGGAGAAGAAAGGACUUUGAGAUUAUCUUCAGUUACAAGAAUUAUACCUGGACAAAGAACUGUGAAUUAAUAAAAAUUUGAUCCAAAUUUGUAAUGUUGUCAUUUUAAAGAUCUGUAAGGAUAAAGCUCAAGCAGAAUUAGACGUUCCUACAGGAGCAAAGUGCAUUAGAGGUUCUAAGAGUGAUACUUCUAAAGUUCCAACACGUUUCUUGGAGAGUUUCUAAAAGUAACCCCUAUACCAUAUCCAAAACAAGUAUUGAGAUAUGAAUGUGGUUUUUAUGUACAUUAAUGACAUUGUGAAAGCUGGAAGAUUUGAGAUGAUUCUAAAAGAAAAGUUUGGAGGAAAGUCAAACUACGAUGAGGACACAAAUUUGCUACAACACCAACAUCAAUGGUUAUCAAAAUUGAAACUUAUUAUGUAAUUUUAUUUGUAAGGAUAACAAAUAUACCUUAAUUUUGUUAUUUUAUAAUUAAAUUGUAUUUUUGUAAAGUUUAACUUUUUAUAAUAUAAUUAAAUUCAUGUUUAUUUCAAA